rnacentral:lncRNA from 1 species
CUUACAGUUCGUCCCCAACUGGAAAAGAAAGAGGUAUUGCACUUUGUGCCUCCAAAGGCCGUUCUCUCCAGAAGGGACCAGAGCUUUAUCAAACGGAAGCCACAACAUCCAUUGUUUUCAAUCUGAGGACCUCUCCGUUACAUUUUUGUAUUUAUGUAUCUAGAACUACAAGAAAGAAUAGAAAAAUGAGCUGAGUUCAUGGCUUCAUGGUUCUUCCAAUUUUAUCUACAUACUAUA